CUUCAGAGGCAUCUGGUUUGAUUUCAACUAGCUGGUUCGACAGCUUCAAGGGUAAAGAUGGGAGAGCUGGGUUGGUUCUUCGAUGUCUACAUCUGGAGGCUUUGACUUUUUUACAGAGCCAUCUGCCCAGACCAUCAGUUUUGGUUUUCAUUGUUCACCGACUCCUUGCCUUCUUCAUUUUCGAUUUGAAGAUCAAUCUCCAUCUAAACUCAUCUCCGUCUGCUACUCGCCUGGCCUUAGCCUCUGAUCUUUCAUCCGUGUUUUCUUAAUCCCCUGCUUCUGUGGUUAGUUCUUUUAUCUUAACCUCUAUUGAAUUUGAUUUUCAUUCAUUGUCUUUUUCCUUUUUUAUUAUUGGGGGUUUUGUCAAUCUAUGAGUUAAUAAUCAUGUUAUUUGGGUUUAUCAAUUAUAUUGUUUGAUAAUUUUUAUUUUUAUUUUUAAAAAAAAGAGCUUUCUAACCCUAAACCCUCUAAUAUCUGAGUAUGUUGUUGAAUCUUUUGGGUGUUUUGCCGAGGUUAAUUUUAGGGUAGAGCAAUAAAUUGAAACAUCUGAGCAUGUUGUUGAAUGUUUUGAAUGUUUUGAGUUAUUGAGCUUUGUUAAUUGUUGUUAGAAUAUAGAUUCGAACCCCUGUGUUUUUGUGAAUACAGGCAAAUAUAAAAUAAGUUUAAUGACGUUGAUGACUGAUGGAGAGAGAAACAUAGAGGAGAAUAGUAUCUGUAUAGAGUUCUUUUUUCCAUUGAAAUUAUGAUUUGGAUAUGUGGUAGGAUUGAUUUUUGAUUCAAUUGAUGAACUGAGUAUGUGUUAUAUUAAAAUUUUCACUAUGGUUAUGAACCAAACAUCUUCAAGCUUUAGUAAUUUUUUUUAAAGAAAAUUUAUGAACUUCACAUGUUAUUUUUUUUUGUUAACCAAACUUUUGUAAUGUGCAUUGUCUUUAAUUCUUAUAUACUAUCAUGGCUGAAUGUUGAGAAUAGUAUCUGUAUAGAGUUCUUUUUUUCAUUGAAAUUAUGAUUUGGAUAUGUGGUAGGAUUGUUUUUUUUUUAUUGAAUUGAUGAAAUGAGUAUGUGUUAUAUUAAAAUUUUCACUAUGGUUAUGAACCAGACAUCUUCAAGCUUUAGUAAUUUUUUUAAAAGAAAAUUUAUGAACUUCGCAUGUUAUUUUUUUUUUUGUUAACCAAACUUCUGUAAUGUGCACUGUCUUUAAUUCUUAUAUACUAUCAUGGCUGAAUGUUAAAUGAUUUACUCUGUUUCAUACAUUGGGAUUGCCAGUUUUAUCAUAUAGUUGUGACAUGUCAAAUGUAAGUUUAUCAGUUUCUAAUUUCUAAAGGCAGAAGUUAUGUUGCAUGGUAAAUUUGUAGUUCAACUAUUUCAUUUCUGUUUUUGAGAUUUUGGAAGUCAUUGUUUAGACUGUUGUUUAUGAAAAGUUUGAUAAUUUGCAGCAUUAGUGAUUACAGACAAUUAAAGCACCGUGAUUAUCAUUUAUAGUUUUGUCUUUGGUUUUUCCUUUUGUAUUUUGUAAAAAUUUAUUUUAGUUAGAAAUCUUGAUUUCCAUUUUAAAAGUUUUGUUAUAGAAAAUACAAAAUCAAAAACCCAUUUGAGCCUUUCCAGAUGCCGCCAUUCUUGGUGUGCCCAAAUGGUAUACUCUUGAACUUAUUGGAAUGGUUGUGGUCAGGGCAUGCAUUCUUCUGUUGGAUCGGUUCACUGUGGACCUGAUUUUGUAGAGGGCAAAAUGUGUACUGUUGACUAUUAAAUAAUGAGUCUAAUUUGAGUUAUUUAAUGAGUGGAGUCCAAUGUUUUCUUGAUUCAUUAAUAAAAGCCAAAAUAAGAAGCAAAGAUAUUUAAUGAGUGGAGUCAAAUGUUCUUAACGUUGAUUGGAUUUUGCUAAAAUAUGAAAAUUAUGAGAGAAUAUUUGUUUGUGGGAAUUUUUUGUGUAUUCUUCUCCUUGUAGGAGGUCAUAUUUAUAAUACAACGAAACAUGAAUGAGCAAGUAAAUAAUAAAUUUCUAAAUCUAUUUGCAGUAGGAAAUCAGGAAUUAAAGUAAAUCAAUUACAAUUAUAAUAGGAAUUCUUGGUGUGUAAGGAAAGUAAGUCAAUAUCCACAAGUCACGCCAACACUCCCCCUCACGUUGGUGCAUAGAUGUCGCCAAUGCCCAACUGAUCUAGUGAAUUGUGGAAUGCUUUAUUGGAAAUCGUCUUUGUCAAAAUAUCCGCCAAUUGAUCCUCGGAUUUCACAAAAUGCGCAAUCUGGUUAAUGUGUCGGGGUCGUUAGUCGAGAAGUCAUAAUCUGUGCAGCAGAAGAUGCAUAGGAUACAGGUUGAGUAAGAAUUGGGAUCGGAAUCUGAGCCUGAGUCGAGGCCGGAGUCGGAGUCGAAAUCAGGAUCAGGGUCUGAAUCAUAGACAAAUUCGGGGUCGGGGUCGUCUUCGGAUCGGGGUGGGGGUCGUCUUCGGAGUCGGGGUCGGGGUCGGAGUCGUCUUCGGAGUCGGGGUCGGGGUCGGGGUCGUGGUCGUCUUCGAAGUCGAGGUCGGGGUCGUCUUUGGAGUCGGGGUCGGGUUCGGGGUCAAAGUCUGCAUCUGUAGGAGCGGAGCCAUCUGGGCACUCAACUCAACGAUGGUUGGUGGAGAAUGAGAGAAUGAGUCGGUGGUGCUACCUCCAUGAGGGUUGAAAAAAUCAUCAACCCCCAUAACACUAAAUAAAAUAAUAUCUAUUACAAUAGGACAAAAUAUAAUUGGUAAGUAACCAAAAUUCUUAUGAAAUAAGGACUCGCCAACACUCCCCCUCAAGUUGGGCAAAGAUAUUUCGCAGGCCCAACUUGACAAGCGAGUCACAGGACACCAUACUUGAGAAGCACCAAUUGUAUAGAAGAUCUUUUAAUCAACCACGAGUGAAACCAGUGACAAACUAAAACAAAGUUCACAGCGGAAACACAAGAGCAAACCCUAAAAAAUAGGGCACAUAGCAAAACACAGAAACCCUGUGAGCACGGCUGUAGAUAAGACAGAACACAGAAACCCUGUGAGCACGGCAGUAGAGACAAUGGCAACAAUAAAUUCUUCCAUAUAAACUUUAGCUAAUUCACUCAGACACAACUUCUCUUCAAUCCUCCUCUCCCCUUGAAAAGAAGGGGUCGUCGGAGUCAAGAAAUAAGCAACAUCUUCAUGGAAAUAUGUCAAGGUAAUUGGGAUAGGUCAAUAAACAUAUCCCUUUCACUCCCCCUCCCCCCCUCUCAAGGGGGGAGAAGAGCACUUAAAUUUCAAGAAGAACACAAGCACAGGUCCCUAGAUCGAACUAGGCUCUGAUACCAUGCUAAAAUAUGAAAACUAUGAGAGAAUAUUUGUUUGUGGGAAUUUUCUAUGUAUUCUUCUCCUUGUAGGAGGUCAUAUUUAUAAUACAACGAAACCUGAAUGAGCAAGUAAAUAAUAAAUUUCUAAAUCUAUUUGCAGUAGGAAAUUAGGAAUUAAAGUAAAUCAAUUACAAUUGUAAUAGGAAUUCUUGGUGUGUAAGGAAAGUAAGUCAAUAUCCACAAGUCACGCCAACAGAUUUUACCAAGAUUCUCAUAAUAUUCAAAUAGGGAUUGAUUUGAGAUUGGGAGUCUUGCACUCUAGGUGGUCCAAACCGCCAAGGAGAUUGGUUCCUAUGAAGUUAGGUCAAAGGCCAGUACAUGAAUAAGGUUCAAAGUCAAUGCUCUAUAUAGUUGUUUACACAUGGAAUUAAGUUAAUUGCUUGAUAGAAUAAUAGAUAUUUGUGAUUAUGAAGUUAUUUACACAAAACUAAAUUCAUGUUGGUGUUAAAAAUAUGAGUAGCAUUUCAGAUAGUGAUGAAAAUUUUGUUAUCUCUUUAGUCUUCUCAUCCUGUGAUAACCUAUACUUCUCUUUAAUCUUCUCUUUAGUCUUCUCUUUAGUCUUAGUUGCACUAAAUUCAUGUUGGUAUUAAUAAUAGCUAGAAAUUCCUAGCAUUGUUGUAAACAAUCAGUUUAAGUGGAGGAUUAUUGUAUGAAAUUUGGUAAACAAAUAUCUAGAAAUUAGCUUCAUAGUUUCUUAGGUUCCAUUUAAUUUGGUAUUUAUUUUUGUGUGAUAUAUUUCUCUUAGGGCAUGUCAAAUGAUAAAGCUGCAAGUAAGCCAUCUAUUCCAUGACAUAAUGCAAUAGACUUAUUCCAAAACACGAGUCUAUUGUUUUGAUUAAGUGUUUUAGUGUUCAUAUUGAAGUCAUUUUUAAACUAUAUAUCCCUAUUUGAUGAUAAUUCCUAAUAUUUUUAAUUAGUUGAAAUUUUUAUGAUGAGUUAUUGGAUGAAUGUUGAUGAUUUUGUUUGUGGAUAAUGAUUUAUUGGAUUGGAUUAAUAUUGAUGAUUUUGUGUGUGGAUAAUGAUUUGUUGGAUUAGGUGACUAUAUAUGAUUAUUUGAUUUGUUAGAAUUUAGGAUUUAUGAUUUGUUGAUUAAAUUUUGUGAUGGACUUCUUUUCCUCUCUUUGUUUGUGCAUUUGUCUUAAGGCCAAUUUGGCAUUGCUGUGCUGUGAAAAUAAUCGCUGUCAGAUUUGCUGUGAGAGAAAUCAACUGUGAGAGAAAGUGGUUUGGGGUUUGGUAAAAUUUUUAUCAAAAGUGUUGUUGGUAUUGAUUUUACGUGUAAUUAGAAAAUGAUUGCCGCAUAAUCAUUAAACCCAACGCCUCUUCAAAACUGAUUCCUGCAUAAUCAGAAAAUGAAAGCACCUCAUUAGCUGCUUUCCCUUAUAGCUUUCUCUCACAGCAAUUUUUAAUAAUAAAUGAUUUCUUACAAUUUACCAAACGGGUUGGGCUUCUCAAAAUUUUUAAAAAAUCACUUAUCACCCCAAAUAAGUAAUGCCAAACUGCACUUAAUUAAAUUUGUUUCUAAAAAAAAUGAUUUGUUGAUUAAUUGAUAUGAUUGUUUGGUUUGAUUGAUUCAUGUGUAUGAUAGAAAAGGUUAGGAGCUGCAUUUGGAGCCUAAUUUAUUUAGCUUGCGAGCUUGAUUUACUUCCCCAGGUUUUCAUUCUCUUCCCUCUCCAUCUCUGAUUUUAAUCUAUUGGUUUGGAAAAGCUCAUAUUCAAGUAAUUUUUAAACUCUAAAUCCCUAAUUGAUAAUAAUGCAAUAUUUUUAGUUAGUUGAAAUUUUUAUAAUGAGUUAUUAGACGAAUGUUGAAGCCUACAAGUUUUCGACAUGGUUAAAGCCUACAAGUUUUGAGUCUAAGGCAAGAAGGAGAAGAAGGAAAAGAUGGAGAGAAGAAAGAUGAAGGAGGAGAUGAUGGUUAAACUGAUGAUGAAAAAGACAGGUGAAAAGGGAAUAGGAAGAGAGCAUGUGUUUUGUAGAAAUGAAUAGUGAGC
rnacentral:lncRNA from 1 species